UUAGCGGCGAACGGGUGAGGAACACGUGAGAAAUCUGCCUUCAACACUGGGAUAACUCCGGGAAACCGGGGCUAAUACCGGAUAUGAAAUCUGCGGGCAUCCGCGGGUUUGGAAAGUUUUUCGGUUGAAGAUGAUCUCGCGGCCUAUCAGCUUGUUGGUGAGGUAAUGGCUCACCAAGGCGACGACGGGUAGCCGGCCUGAGAGGGCGACCGGCCACACUGGGACUGAGACACGGCCCAGACUCCUACGGGAGGCAGCAGUGGGGAAUAUUGGGCAAUGGAGGAAACUCUGACCCAGCGACGCCGCGUGCGGGAUGAAGGCCUUCGGGUUGUAAACCGCUUUCAGCAGGGAAGAAGCGAAAGUGACGGUACCUGCAGAAGAAGCACCGGCUAACUAUGUGCCAGCAGCCGCGGUAAUACAUAGGGUGCAAGCGUUGUCCGGAAUUAUUGGGCGUAAAGAGCUCGUAGGUGGUUCGUCACGUCGGAUGUGAAAAUCUGGGGCUU
rnacentral:rRNA from 1 species